rnacentral:rRNA from 1 species
GAUGAACGCUGGCGGCGUGCCUAAUACAUGCAAGUCGAGCGAACGGACGAGAAGCUUGCUUCUCUGAUGUUAGCGGCGGACGGGUGAGUAACACGUGGAUAACCUACCUAUAAGACUGGGAUAACUUCGGGAAACCGGAGCUAAUACCGGAUAAUAUUUUGAACCGCAUGGUUCAAAAGUGAAAGACGGUCUUGCUGUCACUUAUAGAUGGAUCCGCGCUGCAUUAGCUAGUUGGUAAGGUAACGGCUUACCAAGGCAACGAUGCAUAGCCGACCUGAGAGGGUGAUCGGCCACACUGGAACUGAGACACGGUCCAGACUCCUACGGGAGGCAGCAGUAGGGAAUCUUCCGCAAUGGGCGAAAGCCUGACUGAGCAACGCCGCGUGAGUGAUGAAGGUCUUCGGAUCGUAAAACUCUGUUAUUAGGGAAGAACAUAUGUGUAAGUAACUGUGCACAUCUUGACGGUACCUAAUCAGAAAGCCACGGCUAACUACGUGC